rnacentral:rRNA from 1 species
CAAAGAGUGGCGAACGGGUGAGUAACACGUGGGUACCCUACCUCUUAGCAGGGGAUAACAUUUGGAAACAGGUGCUAAUACCGUAUAACACUAACAACCGCAUGGUUGUUAGUUGAAAGAUGGUUCUGCUAUCACUAAGAGAUGGACCCGCGGUGCAUUAGCUAGUUGGUAAGGUAAUGGCUUACCAAGGCGAUGAUGCGUAGCCGAGUUGAGAGACUGAUCGGCCACAAUGGGACUGAGACACGGCCCAUACUCCUACGGGAGGCAGCAGUAGGGAAUCUUCCACAAUGGGCGCAAGCCUGAUGGAGCAACGCCGCGUGUGUGAUGAAGGGUUUCGGCUCGUAAAACACUGUUAUAAGAGAAGAACGACAUUGAGAGUAACUGUUCAGUGUGUGACGGUAUCUUAUCAGAAAGGAACGGCUAAAUACGUGCCAGCAGCCGCGGUAAUACGUAUGUUCCAAGCGUUAUCCGGAUUUAUUGGGCGUAAAGCGAGCGCAGACGGUUAUUUAAGUCUGAAGUGAAAGCCCUCAGCUCAACUGAGGAAGGGCUUUGGAAACUGGAUAACUUGAGUGCAGUAGAGGAAAGUGGAACUCCAUGUGUAGCGGUGAAAUGCGUAGAUAUAUGGAAGAACACCGGUGGCGAAAGCGGCUUUCUGGACUGUAACUGA